rnacentral:rRNA from 6 species
AAAUUGAAGAGUUUGAUCAUGGCUCAGAUUGAACGCUGGCGGCAGGCCUAACACAUGCAAGUCGAACGGUAACAGGAAGCAGCUUGCUGCUUUGCUGACGAGUGGCGGACGGGUGAGUAAUGUCUGGGAAACUGCCUGAUGGAGGGGGAUAACUACUGGAAACGG